UCUAACGAACUAAAUUUUAGGUUUAUAUUUCGGUUAUAAAGUUUGGGAUAAUUUCUCCGUUAGUA
rnacentral:tRNA from 1 species